GGGAGAGGGAGAAGCAGGCUCCCCACCGAGCAGGAAACCCCAUGGGCCUAGAUCCCAGGCCUCUGGGCAGCGGCUUAACC